GGUAUGAUGGUGGUGUUCGUGGCAUGCAAGAUGCCCAAAAGGCCAUGAAGAAUGAUAUGCCUUCAUAGACAAGAGUUUUCUGUGAAAGGCAAUUCCAGUUUCAUUAGAGGUCACUUCCAGCAUCAAGCACAGAGCCUGGCAGGCAAACAGAAGCUGUGUUGACUGCCCCUCCCCCACCCACAGUUCUGGCUGAGAGGUUUCUCGGUAAAACAGAGACUGGCUGGAGGGAAUAUUGCAGUGUUCUCUGACAAUCUCCCUGCUUACCGGUAGCCAUAACUGCAUCAAGAAAGCAAAAGCAAAACAGCAGAAGGAGAAAGGGCUCUCUCGAGGCCUUUACUGUGUCAGUGUUCAUCACAAAACUUUGCGAGGGCACGUGAGAGCUCUCUGCAGUCUGCUUCACCACAGGACGCCCAUUUUCACAGUGGAACCAGUGUUGUCUGGAUCGCUUUGUCAUUUCUCCCUUCUGUUAAAGCUCCAUUGCUCAUCCCUUUUAAAAACUGUAUAUGAUUCCUCUCGAUGCCUAGUGUAAUUUCUCCCAGGGAAAAACAAUUACGCCAACAACCAGUCACACACUAACGAGGGUGCCAAUAAAAAGGAUUUACCGACUGUGUUUGUCCCACUUAGAGAUGACUAAAGGUGACUCAGCUCAAGCCCUGAGGAAGUCCUGAUUUUCUUUGUAGAAUCAAAACCUCUAAUCAGUUGAAGACCUUGUGUCUGUUUUAGAAAAGUGGCAUGUGCGUUAUCAGCUCUGUUUACCAAA